GACGAACGCUGGCGGCGUGCCUAAUACAUGCAAGUUGAGCGCUGAAGGUUGGUACUUGUACCAACUGGAUGAGCAGCGAACGGGUGAGUAACGCGUGGGGAAUCUGCCUUUGAGCGGGGGACAACAUUUGGAAACGAAUGCUAAUACCGCAUAAAAACUUUAAACACAAGUUUUAAGUUUGAAAGAUGCAAUUGCAUCACUCAAAGAUGAUCCCGCGUUGUAUUAGCUAGUUGGUGAGGUAAAGGCUCACCAAGGCGAUGAUACAUAGCCGACCUGAGAGGGUGAUCGGCCACAUUGGGAAUGAGACACGGCCCAAACUCCUACGGGAGGCAGCAGUAGGGAAUCUUCGGCAAUAGACGAAAGUCUGACCGAGCAACGCCGCGUGAGUGAAGAAGGUUUUCGGAUCGUAAAACUCUGUUGGUAGAGAAGAACGUUGGUGAGAGUGGAAAGCUCAUCAAGUGACGGUAACUACCCAGAAAGGGACGGCUAACUACGUG
rnacentral:rRNA from 1 species